rnacentral:rRNA from 1 species
UGCAGUCGAGCGCAGGAACAAGUUGAUCCCCUUCGGGGGUGACGCUUGUGGAAUGAGCGGCGGACGGGUGAGUAACACGUGGGCAACCUGCCUGUAAGACUGGGAUAACCCCGGGAAACCGGGGCUAAUACCGGAUAAUACUUUCUUUUGCAUAAAGGAAAGUUGAAAGGCGGCUUCGGCUGUCACUUACAGAUGGGCCCGCGGCGCAUUAGCUAGUUGGUGAGGUAACGGCUCACCAAGGCGACGAUGCGUAGCCGACCUGAGAGGGUGAUCGGCCACACUGGGACUGAGACACGGCCCAGACUCCUACGGGAGGCAGCAGUAGGGAAUCUUCCGCAAUGGACGAAAGUCUGACGGAGCAACGCCGCGUGAGUGAUGAAGGUUUUCGGAUCGUAAAACUCUGUUGUUAGGGAAGAACAAGUUGGGUAGUAACUGACCCAACCUUGACGGUACCUAACCAGAAAGCCACGGCUAACUACGUGCCAGCAGCCGCGGUAAUACGUAGGUGGCAAGCGUUGUCCGGAAUUAUUGGGCGUAAAGCGCUCGCAGGCGGUCCUUUAAGUCUGAUGUGAAAUCUCGCGGCUCAACCGCGAACGGUCAUUGGAAACUGGAGGACUUGAGUACAGAAGAGGAGAGUGGAAUUCCACGUGUAGCGGUGAAAUGCGUAGAGAUGUGGAGGAACACCAGUGGCGAAGGCGACUCUCUGGUCUGUAACUGACGCUGAGGAGCGAAAGCGUGGGGAGCGAACAGGAUUAGAUACCCUGGUAGUCCACGCCGUAAACGAUGAGUGCUAGG